AACGCACCUUGCGCUCCUUGGUAUUCCGAGGAGCAUGCCUGUUUGAGUGUCAUUAAAUUCUCAACCUUACCAGCUUGCUGAUAAUGGCUUGGAUGUGGGGGUCUUUUUGCUGGCUUCGGUCAGCUCCCCUUAAAUGUAUUAGCCGGUGCCCCGCGUGGACCGUCUAUUGGUGUGAUAAUUAUCUACGCCGUGGACGUCUGCUUUAAUGGGUUUGCGCUGCUUCUAACCGUCUGUUAACUCGGACAAUACAAUGACAAUUUGACCUCAAAUCAGGUAGGACUACCCGCUGAACUUAA
rnacentral:misc_RNA from 1 species